GAUGAACGCUGGCGGCGUGCCUAAUACAUGCAAGUCGAGCGAACAGACGAGGAGUUUGCUCCUCUGACGUUAGCGGCGGACGGGUGAGUAGCACGUGGAUAACCUACCUAUAAGACUGGGAUAACUUCGGGAAACCGGAGCUAAUACCGGAUAAUAUAUUGAACCGCAUGGUUCAAUAGUGAAAGACGGUUUUGCUGUCACUUAUAGAUGGAUCCGCGCCGCAUUAGCUAGUUGGUAAGGUAACGGCUUACCAAGGCAACGAUGCGUAGCCGACCUGAGAGGGUGAUCGGCCACACUGGAACUGAGACACGGUCCAGACUCCUACGGGAGGCAGCAGUAGGGAAUCUUCCGCAAUGGGCGAAAGCCUGACGGAGCAACGCCGCGUGAGUGAUGAAGGUCUUCGGAUCGUAAAACUCUGUUAUUAGGGAAGAACAAAUGUGUAAGUAACUAUGCACGUCUUGACGGUACCUAAUCAGAAGGCCACGGCUAACUACGUG
rnacentral:rRNA from 1 species